UCUAUUGAAAACAAACUUUAUUGAAAACAUACGGCGUUAUCAAUGGAGCAAAUUUAUUUAUAAGAAGAGGUAAGAUCGGGGGUUGGGAAGAUUAUUUCAGUGACGAGUUAAAAAGAAAUGCUGAGCAAUGGAUGGCUGAAAACCUUGCCGGCACCGACUUGCCUUUUAUAAUUUAAUAUACAUAAUGUCAUAAAUAUUUGUGAUAUUGUCUUAAAAAUAAACGUAUUGAUAAUUAUAAUA